rnacentral:lncRNA from 1 species
AGGAAAUCUCAGGUCCCAUGAAUGCAGCAUCCAAAUGAAGGAAAGGCUCGUGCUUUUGUGCCUUGCUGUCUGCCCUCAGAGUACCAACCACCCCUCUCAAGGAUAAGCUAUUUCUUGCAAAUUUAGCAUCCUUUAUUGCUAGUAUCUGCUUUCAAGCCGGGGGUGAUAUUUCUGAAUCAUCUGGCAUUAUUUACAACAGCUAAUGAUAGACAGAGUUUGAAGUAGAACUAUAGAGCCCCAAUCCAUCCUUUUCCUUGCUCCCAGAUGUCUCUGACCCAGGAGAUAGCAGCUUAAGCCCAUAAUGGCAAAAAAAAUACAACUUUUCCUCAGAACCAGAGUGUGUUCCAUGGGCUCAGAAGCAGUGAAUCCUCCCUCUUCUCAGAAGCAGAGCGCUUCUAUCAAACAGAGCUGAAAAUGUGAAGAACAAAAGGUCUGAAAUGUCACACGAUAAGAAAAAUUAUUUUUAAACUCUCAGUAACAGGAAAUGGAAGGAACUGUAUUCAUAGAGAAAGAAAAUGUAGAGGACAGCUCCAUGAAACUUCAUUUCAUUGACUACUUCUAGUUCAAAAUCAUCUAUACUACAAAGGAACUCCUGGAGUUAAGGGCAUCUGUGAUCAAUGUGACCACCAAACUUGUGAAAAUUUCCUGAGGUGAUUCCUCUCACCAUGAAAAUAGCCUGAAUAGAGAUUACAACACAAUGAAUUCUGUUUGAAAACUAUCCUUCCAGGCAUGGUCUUGGACACAGCUCUCUGGUUAUUCUGAGUGACCCAGACUGGUGUGCCAGGGAGUUACCAACCCAAGGACUGUGGAAAUGAAGUCUCUUGAGAACUGAUGAGCCAGAUUAGAACCAGUUCCUGAAGGUCAGCCUGCAUUAUCCACUCAGAAGUGAGAUGAGGAAGAACUGGCCUGGGGUGGGGUUCACUCAGAAGACUGUUUCCGAUAUGUGCAUUAAGAAUACAUGAUCUGCUGAUGAAAGCUCCCAAAUCCUUCUCCAUUUGCACCACUGAAAAACAAGAGCUAAAUAAAUACUCAC